AUUGUGCAUUGGCCAGCAAGAUUCAGAACACUGCAUUCAUGAGUUUCAAGAAAUUUUUAUCUGGUAUUGACAUUAUUAGUCAAGUCAAAACACCUGUUGCCAUAGGGCUUGAACAUGAAAUUAUCAACCAGCAUAUGAUAAGUGGAUUGCGUAGCCACUUUAUGAUUAAACCCCAAGCUCAGGUACUCUGAUAAUUCAUACUUCCAACCAGUGCCAACACUAACUGAUUUGUUGGUUUAAAAUGGAGAUUCAUAUUUUUAUUGGUUCAGCUAAACAAUAAGGUUUGACUCCAAAACAUUUCAGCAGCUUCGAUUUACUUUAUGGGGAGAAGACAGGAGUAUGACUGGAAGGAUGGUCAUAAUGUGUUACCAGUUACAGUAAAACCGCAUAAGAGCUGCAUUAUGAACUUCCUUCACAUGUACAUUCAAAGAGUAUGAGAAUUUGGCAGAUUUAGCAAACAGAUAAUUACAAUACUAAAAAUAGUCCUACACCCCCGGCCCUUAUUUCCAAAGGGUAAAGGUAUGAAUAUGUAUUAAGGAUCUUGGAAUGCAUCCUCUUUUCAGUUUUACAGUACUUUUACAUCCCUAUCUCUUUUUAAUCCUGAUUUUGUAUUCUGGUGGUGUAGCAAUUACAUAAUACUUUCUCCAACUGCUCUUAGCAGAUAGUUUGUCAUUUGUAAAGGUCCUGGAACUUUCCCUGAACUCUUAAAACAUCUCACACUUAAUUGGUCUCUCUUCCUUCCAUUCUUCAAUUCGUAAUCAUUCUCAAUUCAGUAGACUUAACUUACCCUCAUUGUUCCAUUAUUUUUGUCUUUUCAAACUAAGUUUGUAGGUUUUCACAUUGUGUUAUAGUAUUGGCCCCCUUCAUGCAAUUUCAUAUUUUUCUUAAUUUACUUUGCCCUUCCAAGCAUUUUUUGUAAUUAGUACCUCUCCUGUUAAAUCCGACUUCAUUACUCCUAAAUGCAGGGCUUUGUUCUUGCCACGUUUUUCAUCAAAUGUUGUUCAUACAUGUUGAUAUAAAAAAGUAGUAAACUGAUGAAUUUGGUUUCCAGUUUAAGAAGGAGAGGCUUAGGGAAAUGUGAGAUACGCAAAAUAUUUUGUCCUUACAACUUUUAUCCAUUCUUUAUUGAUCUUCUUGUAGUAUAUCUGUCCACCAUUGUAAACAUAAAAUCUGACAUUAC